UACGUAGGCAGCGAGCGUUGUUCGGAGUUACUGGGCGUAAAGGGUGUGUAGGCGGUUCUUUUAAGUUUGGUGUGAAAUCUCCCGGCUCAACCGGGAGGGUGCGCCGAAUACUGAGGGACUAGAGUGCGGGAGAGGAAAGUGGAAUUCCUGGUGUAGCGGUGAAAUGCGUAGAUAUCUGGAGGAACACCGGUGGCGAAGGCGGCAUCCUGGACCGGUAUUGACGCUGAGGCGCGAAAGCCAGGGGAGCAAACGGG
rnacentral:rRNA from 1 species